rnacentral:lncRNA from 1 species
AAAAGCCCGGCCACCGGCUUCUUGCAGGUCCCCCGAAGGACGCUGCUCGCCGACGGAUCGCCGUCCGCCAGUGUUCGCCGGAGCUCCUCCUCCUCGGUUCACGGCCGCCCCCGGGUCCAAUUUCCAGCAACAGAUGGCGCUAGAGGAAGGGCCCGAGUUCGCUGCCAUGAAGCUAAGAAGCAAAGGGGCUUCCAACGCCUCUCGACGUCCUCCACCAAGUCCAGAACGUUCCGUUCGGAACUCACCACCUCCGGCCGAGUCAGCGCCUCAAGUUCGACCGGAGCAGUUUGAUGCCCUGGCGCAGCAAGUGCAGGCGUUGGCUACCGCCGUCCAAAGCUUGCAACCCAGGGGCAUUCCAGCGGCACCGCCUCCUCCGGCUCCAGU